GUGGUGCUGGAGUUGUUUCAGUCUUCCAGGGCUGUUGUCUUCCCUUGGAUUGCGGUGCAGCUGGUGUGCCAGGAGGAAGGUCCCCAUCCUGGGUGCUGCAGAACUGUCAGGAGUAGCUCCUGUGUGGUGACUGCUCUGUGCUGGUGCUUCUGGUCCUGAAGGUGGGAGGAGUGAGGAGGAGCUGGGUUCUGUGUUCCUGCUGAAGGAGAAAAUUCAUUUCAUUUCAAACCUCAGUGUUUGCCCCCAAAAUACUGGUAACCUGAGCUACUGCUUCACUGCACAACCCUUUGGAUUGAAUUGUGAAUCAGAAAGCAUACUGGAUCAGAAGGGACUUGCAACUCUGGGAGACUGCCCGGACUUCAACUGCUAUGGCUGGGAGCAGCGUCCAAAUGCUUUGUGAACUGUCAGCCAUGGGGUGUGACUGCUGUCUCAGAGAAGCCUGUUUUGCUAUCUCACCCCUCUUUCUGACAAGUUUUUCUUCAUCUGCAACCUCUACCUUCUCUGACCUCUACAGCCUCCUUUCAGCUUAAAAAGAGAGGGAAUUUGAGCCUUCCUUGGAUGCUCCCUGAGAGCUCUUAUUUUAUAUUAGAGGUUGCAGAGCUGCACACUAUGCUCACGGUGAGGCUUUACCUCCCUGGAGCAGUGUGGGAUGAUCCCUUCCUUUGUUCAGCCGGUUGUGCUGGGCCUGAGGUGCCCCAGGGUGUGGUCAGCCUUCUAAAUGACCAGG
ensembl:lncRNA